UACGUAGGGGGCAAGCGUUGUCCGGAAUCAUUGGGCGUAAAGAGCGUGUAGGCGGCUCGGUAAGUCCGCUGUGAAAGUCCAGGGCUCAACCCUGGAAUGCCGGUGGAAACUGUCGAGCUCGAGUCCGGAAGAGGCGAGUGGAAUUCCUGGCGUAGCGGUGAAAUGCGCAGAUAUCAGGAGGAACACCAAUGGCGAAGGCAGCUCGCUGGGACGGUACUGACGCUGAGACGCGAAAGCGUGGGGAGCGAACAGG
rnacentral:rRNA from 1 species